CCUACGGGAGGCAGCAGUGGGGAAUAUUGUACAAUGGGGGAAACCCUGAUGCAGCGACGCCGCGUGAGUGAAGAAGUAUUUCGGUAUGUAAAGCUCUAUCAGCAGGGAAGAAGAAAGACGGUACCUGACUAAGAAGCCCCGGCUAACUACGUGCCAGCAGCCGCGGUAAUACGUAGGGGGCAAGCGGUAUCCGGAUUUACUGGGUGGAAAGGGGGCGUAGACGGGUGUGCAAGUCUGAAGUGAAAGCACAGGGCUCAACCCUGGGACUGCUUUGGAAAAUGUAGAGCUAGAGUGCUGGAGAGGUAAGUGGAAUGCCUAGUGUAGCGGUGAAAUGCGUAGAUAUUAGGAGGAACACCAGUGGCGAAGGCGGCUUACUGGACAGUAACUGACGUUGAGGCUCGAAAGCGUGGGGAGCAAACAGGAUUAGAUACCCCUGUAGUA
rnacentral:rRNA from 1 species